UACGUAGGGUGCAAGCGUUGUCCGGAAUUAUUGGGCGUAAAGAGCUCGUAGGCGGUUUGUCGCGUCUGCUGUGAAAACUCAGGGCUUAACCCUGAGCCUGCAGUGGGUACGGGCAGACUAGAGUGUGGUAGGGGAGAUCGGAAUUCCUGGUGUAGCGGUGGAAUGCGCAGAUAUCAGGAGGAACACCGAUGGCGAAGGCAGCUAUCUGGGCUAAGAUUGACGCUGAGGUGCGAAAGCGUGGGGAGCGAACGGG
rnacentral:rRNA from 1 species